rnacentral:rRNA from 1 species
UACGAAGGUGGCGAGCGUUGUUCGGAAUCACUGGGCUUAAAGAGCGCGUAGGCGGAGUGGACAGUGUCCUGUGAAAGCCCCCGGCUCAACCGGGGAAUUGCGGGGCAUACUGCCACUCUUGAGGCAAGCAGGGGUGCAUGGAACUCUUGGUGGAGCGGUGGAAUGCGUAGAUAUCAAGAGGAACGCCGAAGGUGAAAACAGUGCACUGGGCUUGUUCUAACGCUGAGGCGCGAAAGCGUGGGGAGCGAACGGGAUUAGAUACCCGUGUA